AAAUCCCUGCUGUGUGCGCAACAGUCCGAAGUUUUGAACCAACACUUUUACUUUGGGAGCCUGUGCUCUAGUGAUGGCGUGUAUGCCCCCGUUCGAGACGCUAGGGGACACAUAAAAUGACUGGGAAGGCACCCACCUGCCGAGGGCAGGCUCAAAACUUCGGCAAACGGCAUGGUGGGGCUUUA
rnacentral:other from 1 species